GGAGCUGUGGCUUAAAGGUAGAGUACCUGCUUUGCAUUCAGAAGUUCCCAGGUUCAGUCCCUGGCAUCUUCA
rnacentral:tRNA from 1 species